UUUGCUUUCAGUGCGGACUCGGGGCCACCUCCCACCCGUGUUGCCCGAACCUAUGUUGCCUCGGCGGGCCCCGCGCCCGCCGACGGCCCCCCUGAACGCUGUCUGAAGUUGCAGUCUGAGACCUAUAACGAAAUUAGUUAAAACUUUCAACAACGGAUCUCUUGGUUCCGGCAUCGAUGAAGAACGCAGCGAAAUGCGAUAACUAAUGUGAAUUGCAGAAUUCAGUGAAUCAUCGAGUCUUUGAACGCACAUUGCGCCCUCUGGUAUUCCGGAGGGCAUGCCUGUCCGAGCGUCAUUGCUGCCCUCAAGCCCGGCUUGUGUGUUGGGCCCCGUCCCCCCCGCCGGGGGGACGGGCCCGAAAGGCAGCGGCGGCACCGCGUCCGGUCCUCGAGCGUAUGGGGCUUCGUCACCCGCUCUAGUAGGCCCGGCCGGCGCCAGCCGACCCCCAACCUUUAAUUAUCUCAGGUUGACCUCGGAUCAGGUAGGGAUACCCGCUGAACUUAAGCAUAUCAAAAGCGGGAAGGAAAAAAGAGUGCGGGC
rnacentral:rRNA from 1 species